CUGCUGAAUGUCUCAGCUGCUCCUGCUGGGGAAGAGAAAAUGGCCCACCUUUAUAUCCACUCAGCUGCCAUGUACUUUUGUGAUGUCUCAGGUUGUCCAUAGUCAACUGCAACAGCUGGAGAUGCAUCAGCAUAGUCUCCUCGGGUGUCAGAAUGGCUUUCCAGACUGAGAAAAGUAUUUUCCCGUCUGGGGAGAAAAACUAAGAUUUCUCCUCUCCCAGAGACCUCCCCCUCGCCCACAACCUCCCCCUCUGCACCCCUCUUUGAGAGGACACAAAAGAUGUUUACUGCAACAUGACAGCAAGCUUUGGAUACCUAGUCGGGCUGGAGCCCAGUGCAAAAGGAACAGAAUCCAUAGGAAACUACCAGAGAUAGCUCCCACACUAAACCCCAACUGCUGGCCUGCAAUCCAUUUGUUGGGAUGCUCCAAUGCUGAAGACGAGG